rnacentral:sRNA from 1 species
CCGUGGUUUGUGUCGGGUCACGAGAUGGUGCGGGGACAGCGCCAGGUGACGCUCGGAGCGCACUUGAGAGCAAAGUUGAGGACUGGGGAGUCGCAGCCGCUCGUUACGUGCAGCCCUGGGACCUUUCAUCCCCUCUGGUCACUUGCGGCAGACUCAGGACAGUCCUGAAUCGUGGAAGAAGAAAAGGAGAGUAAUGUUAUUUAAUGGAGGGACUUCUGGGUACAAGUAGCUGAUUUCUUGAGUAGUUUAAAAACACUGUCUAUCGCAUUUAUUUAUAUCAUGCACUGUCGUUAGUUAUUACUGCGGAACAUUUGGUACAAUUUACUGGGCGACCAACUCGCUCUGGUUUCAACCUGAUCAGAACCUGAUCCGAAGUCCUUAUUGGGACUUCCCAGUUUUGCCCUCAAAAGUCGCGCAUCCCGGGAAUCCCCGUCUCCUGCAGUCCUGGUUAGACUGGGAAGAUUGUCACCGCUUUUGUCCAGUCUUCAGCCUGGAGGUAGGACGCCGGUCCUAAGUCGGGGACAGAGCCCGCACACCGGGUAGGUCGAUUCCAGCCUUUGACAGAGAAGACACAGCCUCCGGCGGUCAGAGAUAGCUAAACACAGAGAAAGAAAACAUGGUGUCAACAUCAGGCAGGAGAAAGACCAGCAGUUUUUGAAAACAGCUAUUUUUCUUUAAACCAAAAGCAUCAUUGGACAUAAUUUUAACUUACUAGCAUAAGUAAUCAACAGCUAAAACUGCACACAACAAACCUGAAGAAAACAGCUAUUUUGCAUGACAGUAUGAGUGGGAAGGAGUUCUGCCUGCUGCGGGUCAAAUCUGGCUCUCUCAUCACCAGGGAUCUUGGGAAAGUUACUCAGAAUCUCUGUGCCCACAUGCCCUGAGUCAAAAAAUAGGAAUAGUGGUAGCACUUACCUCAUAGGUUUGCUGGAAGGAUUAAAUCUAGUAAAAUGCCAGCUGUUGUCAAACCUAGAUAGUGUAUUCUGCUCACUGAAAGGUUUACAACACUUUUUUGUUUUGUGUGAUAUACUACGUGGAAAGAGAAGUUUGUGGUUGAAGCUAGUUUUCUGGAAAAUGUUAAUAAUAAAAUAUUUGUAAGAAGUCAAAAUUACUCAAUAGAACAAGAAUUGUAAAUCCAAACGAUUUGGUUUAACAUUAGGGCAAGGUGUUGACUAUGGCUUUUUAGUGGAUUUUUUUUUUAAGUCUCAGAUAUUAAGUACGUGCCCCCAUCUAAUUCCCUCAAUUGAAUAUAAUAUUUAAGUUUAUUAAGUUCACACUUAAAUUACCUUUGAACUAAAAUAGAUUUUGCUGUGUCAGUGAAAUCUCCAUGUGAUUAUGUAUUUGUUUAAACCAGGUAAGUGCCUAUAAAACACUGUACCCAAGUAGCAUAAACUUUUGGGAGCGUCAUUAAUAGUUUCGGUUAGCAUAAAGAUUUUAAUUUCUUAAGUUAAAAUAGAAAUUUUUGUUGAUUUGUUAAGAUUUGUUAGAUCUGGCUACAACCUUGGGGAUCUAGGAUUCUUAGAUAGAAGCUGUUGUUGCCACCACUUCUUUCUUUCCCAGUGCCAGAUUAUAGGUGACCAGUGUGUCUGUUGAGCUGAAUUCAGCUGCAGUGCCCCUCGAGUCCUAUUGCUCUGGCCUUCUCCAGUCUUCUUUUCUUGCCUGCAUUGUUGAGGUCACCUUCUAACUGAUCUCUCAUGUUUUAUUUGGCCUCUCUCCGUACCCUCUUUUAAUUCAUGAAAUAAGGUUUACUUUAUAGCAAAUUCAGUCCUGUCAGAUCUGCUACUUAACAUCCUUUAAGUUUAGCCCUCCCCAAUUAUAAGGCAGGGAAUUCCAUGCACAUUCUCCUAGUGACAAAAUGACAGCCCCUGCCAGUCUCUUCUGUCUCCAUUCCUGCGUCGAGGCCUGAAAUCCAGUCUUCCGUACCUACUGGAGACCAAAUGUGCCAGGCUUGUCUUACAAUACUUAACAUUUCCUCUGCCUUUCUGUCUUAACCUUCUAGUCAAGUACAUUAAAAACCUAGGCCCGGCCUUCGUCUCUUUCUUUGCCCUCCCCACCCCAUUCAUCCCAUACCUGGUUAACAAUGAUUUGUCCUUCCUGUGUGCCCAUAGGACUCAUUCCUUUAGUCUAGCACAUACCACACUCAUUACUUGUUCAGUGUCUUUCCAGCUCCCACCCACAGUUCUAUGAGAAAGGGAACAGUGUUUUAAUUUUUGUUUCCCUCCUUCUUACUGUAGUUCCCUAUAUACGUAGUGGAGCCUCAAUAAAUAUUGGUUGAAUGAAUGUUAAUUCGUAAGUAAAUAUAAAAUGUAUUCUGUUACUCAUAAUUAUCUGAAUAAUCUUAAUGUAUGGAUUGUUUGUAAAAUUGAACGCAUUGGAAAAAUGUUCAUUUAUUCUGUAAACAUUUGCAAAUGUCUACUAUGAUCUGGAGCUAUAAAAAUUUUAAGACAAAAUUCCUGUCUUCAAAAUUUUCACAGUGGGAUCAGGGAACAGGGAAGCCCGUAUUUAUCAGAG